rnacentral:lncRNA from 1 species
CGCCAGGCUCCGCGCUGCACGUUUCUGCGCCCCGGACGGGCUCUCCGCCGGCCGCUUUGUGGAUGCGUGUGGAGCCCCGAAGCCAUUCAUUCCCCGGUGCGGGGUCUCCCCUAGGCCUUGGGCCCCGAGAGGGAAGGGAUGUGCGGCCCCAGCGGCGCCGCCUGCCCCGCGUAGCCGGCAGUGCGCACCCGCAGGGCCCCCGACUCUCCGUGGAGGACCCCGGACACCCGGCAUUCGCUCCAGAAAGACGCAUGUCCUUUCUGCGGGAGGAAAGUUGCCCCCUUUUUUUCCCCAUUGUGGUUCCUGUGAGAACUGCUUCUCGUUUUUGCCCCGGUGAACCCUCUCUAGGAACCGGGAUUCCGUGGGCAGGUGGGCGGACAGGUGGCUGGCAGCAGGUUGGCUCCGUGGGGCAGUUCCGGCUGGCACAGGCUGUCUCAUCCUGCUGCAGUGCGCUUUUCCUCCGGAGCCAGUUGGUCCCUUUACCGUGGGAGCCAUUUCUUGCAUUGUCUUGGAUACCUCGGACCCGGGAUCCCCAGGUCCUGUUGGAUCCUAACGUGUUACAAACGGUUGUUGUGAGCGCCCCAGUUAUUCGGCAGAUACAUACUGAGCACCAGUACCAUCCUAGGGAUAAUGGUACUGGGAAUGAUAGAGUAGUAAUAGCAGUUCUUCAGCGCUUACUCUGUGAUAGCACUUAUUUUUGGGUUCGCUUUAGGCGCCUCAAAUGAUUAACUUAGUGUGUUGGUAACCCAGUAAAUCAGAUGGUGUCUGUCAUUUUCUCCUUAUGAAAGUGGACAUUGAAGUGCAGCGGUUAGAUGACUUGCCCACGUAGUAAAUGUGGAUUUGGGUCCAAACCUGUCAGGAUCCAGGCUAAUAGAGAGAUGGGAACCUGUGCAGGUAACAUUACAACACGAGCGCUGUGGAAGCCCAGCGAACAAAGAAGUUCGCUGCCCCAGGAGGCAGCAGGGAUAAAGAUAUCCUCUUAUGUGGGGUCCUCAGGAAUACAACUUUCCAUGGAGGAAAUGUUGUUCCCCAUGUUCCAGAGUUGCGUCUGAAGUUUAGGCACACCUGGAAAUGGCCAGAAGUUGAGUCAGCAAGUGAUGAGCUUGAGUGGAAUUUGGAAAAGGCUGGAAAGGUAGGUCAGGGCAAGAGUUUGAAGGGCUGGUCCCAUUGGGGAGGGUUAGCUUUUUGGCUUUGACAGCACGAGGGAACCAUAGAGAAGGAUUCCAGGUACAUGCCGGUUAGGUGCUUUCCGGAGGAGCUUGGAGGGUUGCUCUCUCUUGUUGCUUGGUCCUUUAGUGGAGCGCUGCCCAUUGUGGGGUCGCCUGAGAAUUACAGGUGUGAGGUCUUGGCCAUAGUGAGAGAGGCUCCAUUCCUCUGAGAUUCCAGUACGAGUCCAGAAUUUUGUUCUUCAGGAGGUGUUUCUUUCUUUCUUUCCCCCCCUAAAACAAUAGCUGCUACACCAGCUGUUCUGGGUGAGGGGGAGUGUUGGGUACAAUGUUAAAAAUACACCCAGAGGACUAGCAUUUCGGAACACAGUCACAUCUGCUGUACAGAUAGCUCAAGGCUGCUUUUCUUCUCGGUUGUUAGGGAUCGUCAGAGUGUGGGAAAUGUGAGGUUUUCUGCGCAUGCACCAACUCCCUUUUGCAGCAGAGCUGGCAUUCACUAACUUCCUCUGAUGUAUUUGGUAUCUAAUAGAAAUAUCUAAAUGCUGUGGGCUAUCUUUCUGAGUCUAGCAGGAAACAAGCCCCUUUCAGUGUGGAAGCCAGAGGUAGUUGGAUGCAGCUGAGCCCUGGCACAGGUGCUGGGGGAACUGAGAAUGCAAACCACAGGCAGUGAGGCAACUUGGAGAUGAAGCAACCAGAGGGAAACCACUGCCAUCCCUAAGUGCAGGGACAAAGGGAGGAGUGAGGGUGACUGCAGGGGCAACUGGCUCUGCCAGAAGCUGGAACUACAGCGGUCCAUCUGGCGAGCUUGCCGGAGGGCACAGUUGGUGCCACAAACGUCCUUAGCUCCCUUGCCUGUAGGACUCAUUCUGCAGUCCAUAGAGCAGAGGAGUGAGGAAUGGACCUGGGGACAAGCUGGCCCAGGACCAGAACUGUAUGUAUGUCAGGUUAUCAAAAUAAUAGUCUAGUGAGAGCUUGAGCUAUCUUCAUUCAGGGAAAGAAGCAAUUUUAAAAAAAGAAGGCCCGGGGAUUUAGCUCAGUGGUUUCACCGCUUGCUGCGCAAGUGUAAGGACCAGAGUUUGACCCCUGGUACCAAAAAAAAAAAAAAAAAAAAAAAAGGAAGGCUCUUCUGACAAUAUUCCUCAAAUUUUAAUUGUAGACAUGUUCCCUGGGGCUCUUGUUAAAAUAGUGAUCAUGGCUGAGGAGGCCAUAGUGGGGCCUGAGAACUUCCAUUUCUAAAAAGCCCCCAAGAGAAGCUGUUAUAGCUUGUGUCUAGCUGUCCCCCAAAGCCUCAUGUGUUCAUAGGUGGGGGGUUUUCAGAGGUGGGUGGAUCUAGGGUAUGUCACACUGGGAUUGAUUCAUGGUGUAAUGCUAGGCUCAAGGGCACUAGGAUUAAGGGUGUGCGUGCUGCCUGUCCUGUGUAGCCUGGGUAAGAUACAAGGGAUAGAAAGAGCUGUGGUCAUCCUUUGUUUGCUUGCUUGCUACAUUCUGCCUGCCACGGACUGUUUCUCCUGUGAUAUCCCUCUGCCAUGCCACCCUGCUGUGGAGCCAGCCAACUAUGGACUGAAACCUCUACAAACUGAGCUAAAUGAACCUUUUCUCCCUUAACUUUGGGCGUUGGGUAUUUUGUCUCAGCAACAAGAGAAGUAACUAAGACAGAGGUGGCUGCUGCUGCUGCUGCUGCUGCUGCUGUGCUGUGAAAUACACUUUGAGAAACAAGACCCUUCUUGUGAAGAGAAGCCUACCAAGCUCCAAAGAGAUCUUUAGACCAUCAUCAAAGAGGGGAUGCUGACCAAACAGAACAAUUCAUUCCAGCGAUCAAAAAGGAGAUACUUUAAGCUUCGAGGGCGAACGCUAUACUACGCCAAAACUGCAAAGUCCAUCAUAUUUGAUGAGGUGGACCUAACAGAUGCCAGCGUGGCCGAAUCAAGCACCAAAAACGUCAACAACAGCUUCACGUGGUCUUGAAAUACCAGAGGAACAAGAAAGCCAUUGUAAGCUUGGUGAGAAGAAAAGGGUAAUUCAUCUCUGAGCAUCCAGCUAACAUAAGGAAGGCGAGGCUUUGGUGAGGGAGGAUUAUUUCUGCAGGCACUUGACCUUGCGUAUGAUUACCUGCUUCCUUGGGAAUCUGCUCUGAGAUGUCCUUUCCUGGGUUGCUGAGAGAGGACAGUCCCUGAACCCGAUGAGUGAGUCAGGGUGUUGAAAGAGGGCAGGGUGGCUUGGGUGGCGUGCGUACUGCAUGCAGGUCCCUAGUGUCCACGUUUCAGGCUGCGUUUCAGCACCUGCAGCAGUCGCAGAAGUUGGGCCUUGGAGUUCAGGGCUUGUUGGUCAGAGCUGGGCACUUGGAAGGACAGCUAUAUUUCUCAGGGUUCAUCCCCUUUCUGGUCUAGAGUCGAAUGCCACAGUCUGUGUUUUUGUUUUUGUUUUUAAUUGAUGUAUGUUUGCAAUACAUGAUAUUUACAUUCACUUUGAGGAAUUGGCACAUACUGCACAUAUGAUGCAUCUUGAUCACUUCCACCCUCCUGCCCCAUCCCUGUCUUAGAGUGCCAAGUGUGUGUGCCAGCACAUGUGCCUCUCCCAGACCGCAAGGGCCGGCAGGCAGGCAUUCAAACCCCUGAGGCGAGAGUACAUGGACCACAGUGUCCUGCAGGACACAGCUUGGCCCAUGUCUUCCGGCCCCAGCUCCCCUGUAGAAGCACUGGCCUUAGCACAUCGCCUGUCUCUCUGGGCAUUUAUUUCCCUCAUGUGAAAGGAGGUUAAAUCAGUUGGACUUCCAGUGACAGGCACUUGUGUGAUACUGUGACCUAACUGUGCUACCAUGAGACCUUGAAGAGGAAAGACUUGGAUGGUCCUUGCCUUAUCACUGUAGUUCCUAUAGCUUGGCUUCAGCAUGCCAGAACUGGAACCCUUCAUCCUGUGUUAUUUCUAUUAGUGCAUGUUGGUUAUACAGGAGAAAGGGUUUUGUUUUGGCAGGUACGUUUUUCUUUGGAGCCUUAGCUAUAUGUUGGGCAGAGGAGAUGGCUGUCUUCCGUCUCGAGAGGGGGGUUGGCUGGGUGGGAGAAGGAGGCCAUCUCCCUGGGCUCACUACUCCCUGGGCCUACUCCCUUCAUGGGGAGGUGUUAGGGGCUGAAAGACUCUACUUUAUUGCCCGGGGUAGAAGUUGAGGGCACCUCACGCAGGUAGCAGUCAGGCCUCGGAGGUUUUCCAGUUGACUCUUGGACAAAACACAGUAAAGCUGGAGAACACUACAGCCCCCAGGUCCAGAGCAGAUGGUUAGGUUUGCACGUGCAGUUGGGGUCGGGUGUAUGGGGAGGUAAUGCUGAGGCAUGUUUUAUGGUAGCCUUUUAAAUUCUGUAAGGUUUUUCAUUGUAAAUUACUUAGAAAACAUAUGCUUUCAUACAGUUUUGAGAUGUGACCCUUUGUGGAACAGGAAGGGCUAAAUUCUGUGUUUAUGCAGCAUGUGUUAAUUCCCUGUCAGGCUCUUAGGAAUCUGCAUGGGAGUGGAAUGGACAUCCCUCCUUUGUAGAGUCAGGGGCAGAGAAAAAGGACAAGGUGCAGAUCCCUUCUUCAUUUAAUGUUUCCAAGUCAGAUCCUCUUUAUACUCUUCCUAAGGGGUGUACAGCCAGUGGAUCAUUAUAUAAGGGGUAGCAGCCAAUUUUUUCUGUUAAGAGCCGAAUACUUUAGGCUUUGUGGCCUGUGGUGUCUGCGGCAGCUCCCUACUCUGUUGUUGAGGCAUAGCUGCGUGCAGCAACCAUGGACAUCAUGGCAGUGUUCCAGUACAACUGUUCGGAGCGCAGGUGCAGGUCAUAGUUUGCCUGUCCUAGCCUGAUACCCACAUUUCAUUCUCUGUAGUUAUUCCAGCCUUCCCUUUGCUGGGAAGCAGGCUUCCUGGUGCUCCUGCCUCUUUUUGUUCAGAGUUUUCAGUGCUGGUCCCUAAUGAAGUCAUUUGUUCUCAACACCUGGAGGAUAAAGACAGCUCCAUUUCUGUGGCUUGGGUUCUUUCCUGUGUGGUGAUGAGGGUGCUGACUCUACCAGGGUUGCUUGGGAUGUCAGCAGGAAGCCCAGGUGCCCAGGUUCCUCCCAGGCUGCUCAGCUGUCCUCUGCAUGAGGCUAUGCUGCAGGAGCCAGGCUUUCGAGGGCUCUCUGGGAAGCUCUGGCCUGGACGUCAGCCCCUGGUUGCCUUGUGCCCAGCCAAGGCCGUGUGUUAGCUGGGCCUGGCCAGAGGGCCCCUGGCAGCAGGGUCUUCUGGGAGGAGUUGAUUUUUUUUUUUGCUUAAAUUCUUUGGGAGGAGAUGACUUUUGAGGGGUUUAUUUUUGUGGAGGAAAAAUCUGUAGAUAAAUUUUGAAAUACUUUUUUACUGUAGAAAGUUUGGAAAAUACAGAAAACUAGAAGGAAAUGAAGAGAUUCCUCAGGGCUACCGCCUGAGAUGUGAACUUUUAAGUUUUCCAGGCUAUGUACAUUUACUUAUAAAACAAAACGAAACCAAACCACAAAUGUGUAAUAAAAAUAUAACCCUAUCUCCUUUCCCCCAGUUUUUUUUUUUUUUUUUUUUUUUAAACUGUGGCAAAAUACACAUAACAUCAGUUUUGCGUCUUAGCCAUUUUAAGAGGACAUUGUGAAUGUGCACUUUGGAAAAUUCUCUGUAAACCUGUUUGGCC